rnacentral:rRNA from 1 species
CAAGAGAGAGAACAUAAUUUGGUUCAUCAUGACCCACUUGCUGACCCGUUGCUAGAAAGCCAAGUAAAAUGACUUCAUUACGUGUGAUCUAGCUCUGUACUAAUAAACUAUGGAAGUGUUGGAAAGCUAAACAAAAUCCCAAAACGAUCCUCAUUAUUAAGCAUGGAUGAUUAGGGCUAAGUAACUUUUCGAUCAAUAGGGCAUGAUACAAAAAGUAAUGUAAUUAACAUGAAGACUCGCUUCAAAAUCAUCGAGAUGCUUUGUAGCAUCAAUGGAGAUGUUUGCCACUAUUGUAUUUGAAGCUUUCCUGAACCAGUUAAGUAUUCAACUCCGAGCUGAUCCUGGAUAAGAAGUUCAGGGAAAAAGAUACCAUCAUAAAUAUUUAGUAACUUGACUUGAAUAAAUCCUUCCUUCGUCAUUAAUUAAUCUAGUUAAUGCAUACAAUACACAGGUAGGUGAACUGUUGAUUGCUGAAAGUGCAUUGCACAUAUCUCCAAAUCAGCACUAUAAAUAGUACUGUUAUUAAAUUAGCACAACUAAAAAUAUAUUAAAUAAUAUGCAUGAAAAUGCUCAUGGAUUAAUUUAUCUAGCUUCUAUUGUCAAGAUAAUAGCUCUGCUCUCUUUAGUGGUGAAGUUUUUUCAUGAUACACGAGAUGAACAUCGAAAUAAAGAAACUGAAUUGAGAUCUUAUUUGGUCUGGCAUCCAGGUAAAAGGUGAACGCCAUACACCAACAACCAUGAACAUAAACGUAAAUAGAAGCAACAACAAUAAAAAAUCCUGAUAUUACCUACUGCCCCAACAAUUUAUCCUCAUGUUGGAUCCAUAACAGGGAGGAGAGACGAGAGGCAAGUUGUACCUGAGGCGC